rnacentral:rRNA from 1 species
GACGGGGGCCCCGGCACAAGCGGUGGAGCAUGUGGUUUAAUUCGACGCAACGCGAAGAACCUUUACCAGGGCUUGACAUCCCUUGAAGCAGCUAGAGAUAGCUGUGUCCUUCGGGACAAGGAGACAGGUGGUGCAUGGUUGUCGUCAGCUCGUGUCGUGAGAUGUUGGGUUAAGUCCCGCAACGAGCGCAACCCCUAUGGUUAGUUGCCAGCAAGUAGCGUUGGGCACUCUAGCCAGACUGCCGGUGAUAAAUCGGAGGAAGGUGGGGACGACGUCAAAUCAUCAUGCCCUUUAUGUCCUGGGCUACACACGUACUACAAUGGCCGUUACAACGGGAAGCGAAGGAGCAAUCCGGAGCAAAUCCCUUAAAGGCGGUCCCAGUUCAGAUUGUGGGCUGAAACUCGCCCGCAUGAAGGCGGAAUUGCUAGUAAUUGCAGAUCAGCAUGCUGCAGUGAAUACGUUCCCGGGCCUU